AGUAAAAUAAACUUCUUCGAAAGCUAAAAUUUAGUUUCGCAUAAAAAUUUUAUAUAUAAAAUUUGGACAUUUCUAAACGAGUAUUUUCUUUGAAUUAAAAAUAAAAUUUUGUAAAAAUAUAUUAAGACUUUUAUAAAUUAUUUUUAAAAAAAUUAUUUUAUUUCUUUCCUGAUGGUGAGUUAAAGAUGAGUGGGAGGAAGGUUUGGUUGCUUGGGUUGUAGUGUUUGAAAGAUAUUAUGGGUGGAGGUUUUAAUUGAAUAGAAGAUAAAGAACGAGUGGGAGUUUUGGACUGAGUAAAAAGAAGAGAAGAUAAAGCUUGGAAGAGUUUUGUAGGUGGUUGGAAGGAGAGAAAAGAAAAUAGGAGUAGAGGAAGAGAUCUUUCCUAGCCUCGAGAUGCAGUUAGAUCCGAAGGAAAAGAGAUAGGUUUUAGUUUCAUUUUACAGUGAAACGGAUGUGGACAUCCGUUUGUCCUUUAACAGAGGUUCACAUCCGUUUUUCCUUCAAUGAUGUACGGAUAUUGACAUCCGUUUAAAUAAUAUUGAAGGGAAAAAAAAGGAAUGGGGAGGUGCAGGGAAUAGUAUGUGGUGGUGGAGGGAAUAACUCCCUCAAAAAAUUUGAACCUGGCCUAACCCACCAUGGGUUGACUCACUGGCUCACUUAAUUACAUAUUUUUAAAAUCCAAAAAAGUUACAAUUUUUUUAUGAUUCAAAUUCAAAUAAGUUCACUCUAAAAUGAAGUUAAACUCAAAAGACAAUUCAAAAUAAAAAAAAAAUUAACAUACAUAACUCAAAUGUAAUCCAAAAGCAAACCCAAAAAAUGAAUAAAUAAAUUUAUAAUAUUGAUAAUUUUUGUGUUAUUUAUCCAUUUAUAAUAUUAGAGUCUUCAAUGGAUAAAUUUAUAAUAUUUUGUUCUCUUGAAACAUCUUUUUAUUUAUUCCCAUUUAUAAUACAAUAAAAAAAAUGUUAACUAAUAAUAUUGAAACAUAAAAUAAAACAUAAUUAAAUUAAACUAGGUGGGUUGGUGAGCCAACCCGGCUCACCUCAGGUCAACCCGGGCAAGUCGGGUUCUAAGUGAGUUGGGUGAAAACUGGCCCGCAUCAACAAAUUUCAUUUUUUCCAAACCCAACCCCGCUCAAAACCGUGGUGGGUCAGGUUGCCCACAGAUUCUAACCCAUUUUGACAGCACUGCUCGUGGUAUUGGGAUUGUUAACCUUUUUACUUUUUUUUUCAUUGGUAAUUCUUUAUGUUCCUAGAU
rnacentral:lncRNA from 1 species